AUUGCUAAGACAAAGGGUCUACAAAAUGUUCAGGCCUUUGAUAUCUGUUGGUAAGAUACAACUUUUAACAGGUAUAUAGUAAUGAAUAAUUCCAUGUUGACUUUUUUUUUUCCUUUCCCUCAUAUAGGACCCAUUAAUCUUCUCACUGGCUCUACCCAUCCUCUACCCUUUUCUAACUGGAAAAUUCCAAGCCUAAUCUUUCCUUUCCCCCAUUUCAGUCAUUCAACAACAUUCAACAAGUAUGUGUUGAACACCUACAAAAUUCCAAGUUCUGGAGAUCCACUGAUGAACAAAACAGAGCCUUAUGCUUGCAGAACUUGUGUUCUAGUGGGAAGAUACAGAUAAUAAAUAUAACAGUCUCUGGCUCUCCCCACCCUGCUCUAUGCCCUGGGAUCCUGAGCUAUAUGAACUCCAUCCAGAGUCUUCUUUGCCCUGUUUCCCAUUGGGUUUGGCCGAAGGAGUUUCCCAUUGAGUUUGGCCAAAAGGAAUACUGGCAAGGGAUCUGACGGAAGGAGAAGUGUGACCGUCAGACCUGAGCGGUGACAACUCCCUGCUCUUGCCAGCCCCGGAGUACCACACUGGACCUGACUGAUAGAUUGGAUGCCGGCUGUGAAUUAAAGUGGAGUUAAGGAUGGCUCCUUUGGCUGCAAGACCCAGGGUUCACCAGGUCCUCCCCUUCUACACAACUCUGUGAUCCAAACCUGGCCAAGGCGACUUUGGGAGCUUCAUUCCCCUUGGCAGUACCCGAACUGCAUAGAGCUUCUAAAGAGUAAAAGCCCAUCCCCUUGACCAAGAAGAUCUGCUUAGCGGGAGAUGGAGGAAAGUUGCAGGGAGAGCCAGACGAGCACAACAUGGAGACACUUGGGGAAGAAGAUGGAAGAGAAGGGGACGCUUCAGCUAUGCCUAUGGGGAAACCUGUCCACUCCCAGGGAGGGUAUAGGAGACAAGAUUUUCCCAAGGCCAUAGGAGGCGAAGGUCAUC